rnacentral:rRNA from 1 species
GCGUGAGUGAUGAAGGUUUUCGGRUCGUAAAGCUCUGUCAAGGGGAAGAAACUCCCGGGUGAUAAUAACACUUGGGGCUGACGGUACCCUCAAAGGAAGACCGGCUAACUCCGUGCCAGCAGCCGCGGUAAUACGGAGGGUGCAAGCGUUGUUCGGAAUAUUGGGCGUAAAGCGCGUGUAGGCGGUUGGUUAAGUCUGAUGUGAAAGCCCUGGGCUCACCCGGGAAGUGCAUUGGAAACUGGCUAACUUGAGUACGGGAGAGGGAAGUGGAAUUCCA